rnacentral:rRNA from 1 species
CCUACGGGGUGCAGCAGUGGGGAAUAUUGGACAAUGGGCGAAAGCCUGAUCCAGCCAUGCCGCGUGUGUGAAGAAGGCCUUCGGGUUGUAAAGCACUUUCAGUGGGGAAGAAAGCCUUGGGGCUAAUACCCUCGAGGAAGGACAUCACCCACAGAAGAAGCACCGGCUAACUCCGUGCCAGCAGCCGCGGUAAUACGGAGGGUGCGAGCGUUAAUCGGAAUUACUGGGCGUAAAGCGCGCGUAGGCGGUCUGAUAAGCCGGUUGUGAAAGCCCCGGGCUCAACCUGGGAACGGCAUCCGGAACUGUCAGGCUAGAGUGCAGGAGAGGAAGGUAGAAUUCCCGGUGUAGCGGUGAAAUGCGUAGAGAUCGGGAGGAAUACCCGUGGCGAAGGCGGCCUUCUGGACUGACACUGACGCUGAGGUGCGAAAGCGUGGGUAGCAAACAGGAUUAGAUACCCUAGUAGUC